rnacentral:rRNA from 1 species
UGGCGGACGGGUGAGUAAUGUCUGGGAAACCGCCCGAUGGAGGGGGAUAACUACUGGAAACGGUAGCUAAUACCGCAUAACGUCGCAAGACCAAAGAGGGGGACCUUCGGGCCUCUUGCCAUCGGAUGUGCCCAGAUGGGAUUAGCUAGUAGGUGGGGUAACGGCUCACCUAGGCGACGAUCCCUAGCUGGUCUGAGAGGAUGACCAGCCACACUGGGACUGAGACACGGCCCAG